GGCACAGUGGCUUAGUGGUUAGCAUGUUUGCCUCACACCUACAGGGUUAGGGGUUCAAAUCCCUCCUCUGCCG